UGAGAGAAGACGAAAUAAUGCUCAGAUCUUUGAUAACAUUUGGUUUGGGCGUGUACACCGGUUUGUACAUAAGUCAAAAUUACGAGGUAAUGCCUUAAAGGAAAGGAGAGGGGGAGAAGACUGAAUUGCAGAGCAAACAUUUCUUGCCAACAGAAAGUUCACCUGCAGCCCAGGUCCUCCAAACACUUAGGAGAUUAUAUAUAUAUAUAUAUAUAUAUGUAUUAACAGUUAUCUUUUAGUUAUGUGUUUUAAUAUUAUAUACAAAUUAAGGAUAAAUAUACACAAUUUUUACACAUUCAUGAGUGUUUAUGCAAGAUGUAUUCCUCCUCCUGAAUAUUCCAUCCGUAAUUGAGGUUCCACAAAAGCUAGCCAGUCAGAAGCAUGAGAUGGUAGCAGUCCCAUUGAGUGACACUUGUAAAGUGCCAGAGCAACACUUACUAUGUUUCCAAGUAGGUAUGCAAAUUUUUGCACCACUGCAUGGUCACCUUCAAUCAUUUUGAAUGCUGGCAAAAGAAAACAAGUUUAGUUCUUUGAUGAACAUGAAAUUUUGAUAUCUUAACUUUAAAAUGAUGGCAAAUGGCUCACUGUGUAAUGAUGUGGGCCAUUAAAGUAAAGAAUGAUCAUUUAAUCACAUGCACUCCAGCUGCAAUCUACUGAAUUGUUUUCAGAGAAAACUGGAGCUCUUAUGUUCCUCAUUUUUACAAAACUGCCUCUUUCACUGCAGACUAAUCAAACAAUAAGUUAUCAACUUGUUUAGUGUGUAACAAAAUUAUCUUACUGUAUAUCAUAAAUAUUGUGAUGACUAAUUUUAUUACAGUAAACUAAUUUGUACAUGAAUAUUGGAAACAUGAAUGUAAACAUUAAAUAUAUAUUUAUUUAUUACUCAAUAACUGUUGCAUGCAUCACUUAUUGCUGAGUGACAAAUAUAAAAUUAACUACUUUUAUUAUUCACUACUCUAAAGGAGAAACAUGGUCUUUAUUGUUUUGAAAAUGUGUGUUUACACUGCAUUAGUGUUCCAGCCAAAAGCUUUAGUAGGUCAAGCUAUAUAAUAAAGUUGUUUCACAAAUCUUA